rnacentral:misc_RNA from 1 species
UUAAGCGUGAGGGUCGGUGGUUCAAGUCCACUUAGGCCCAUCUUUCAAUCAUCAUACAAAAGGGGCCUUAGCUCAGCUGGGAGAGCGCCUGCUUUGCACGCAGGAGGUCAUCGGUUCGAUCCCGAUAGGCUCCACCAAAAACAAGAUCAAUGGAAUGUUCUUUGAAAACUAGAUAACAGCAGAAGGGAUUCAUGAAGAAAAGCUCUUUUCACAU